GUGAAUCAUGAAAUUUUUGAACGCAAAUUGCGCUUCCUGGUAUCCCGGGAAGUAUGCCUGUUUGAGGGUCAGUAUUAACAAAAAAUCGGUUUGGUUGCAAAUUGUGACGUUUCCGGAGUUUGGGCUUAUCUUAACUUUUUUGGUUAAGGGGCUUAAAAUUGACCUUUUUUGCGCAUUUUUAACCGAACUUAAUUUUUUUUUUUUGUUUUUUUUUUAUUCCCAAAAUUUU
rnacentral:misc_RNA from 1 species